GAGGAAUAUUGGUCAAUGGGCGCGAGCCUGAACCAGCCAAGUAGCGUGCAGGAUGACGGCCCUAUGGGUUGUAAACUGCUUUUGUAUGGGGAUAAAGUCAAUCACGUGUGAUUGUUUGCAGGUACCAUACGAAUAAGGACCGGCUAAUUCCGUGCCAGCAGCCGCGGUAAUACGGAAGGUCCGGGCGUUAUCCGGAUUUAUUGGGUUUAAAGGGAGCGUAGGCCGGAGAUUAAGUGUGUUGUGAAAUGUAGACGCUCAACGUCUGACUUGCAGCGCAUACUGGUUUCCUUGAGUACGCACAACGUUGGCGGAAUUCGUCGUGUAGCGGUGAAAUGCUUAGAUAUGACGAAGAACUCCGAUUGCGAAGGCAGCUGACGGGAGCGCAACUGACGCUUAAGCUCGAAGGUGCGGGUAUCAAACAGGAUUAGAUACCCUGGUAGUCCGCACAGUAAACGAUGGAUGCCCGCUGUUGGUACCUGGUAUCAGCGGCUAAGCGAAAGCAUUAAGCAUCCCACCUGGGGAGUACGCCGGCAACGGUG
rnacentral:rRNA from 1 species